UACAGAGGGUGCGAGCGUUGUUCGGAAUUAUUGGGCGUAAAGGGCGCGUAGGCGGUGCGGUAAGUCACCUGUGAAAUCUCCUGGCUCAACUGGGAAUGGCAUUGGAAACUGGCUCGCUGGAGUGUGGCAGAGGGGGGUGGAAUUCCGCGUGUAGCAGUGAAAUGCGUAGAGAUGCGGAGGAACACCGAUGGCGAAGGCAGCCCCCUGGGCUAACACUGACGCUCAGGCACGAAAGCGUGGGGAGCAAACAGG
rnacentral:rRNA from 1 species